GAGGGGGGCGGGGCCGGCGCGACCGGCGGGGCGGGGCGGACACUCCCACCGCGCACCUGCUUCUGCCUGACGUGUACCCGGAAGGUCGUCAGCUCAGGCUCCAAAUAUGUAACAGUGAGUUUCUAAGUGAGUCACACGGACGCGGUUGGUUUCCAGUGAGGCAUAACUCAUCGCUUCACUCUUCUCAACGGUUCCCUCUUCGGAAGGAAGCGCAGUCCGCAGCGUCGUCCGAGGGCGUGAUCGCCUGCGUCGCACCCGCGUCUCCAGUGGCCACCCCUUGUCCUACAGGAACGCGCAUCUGCUUAGCAGGCGCUGAGCCCUUGAGGAGGCCUAAAAUGAAUGAACGCGGCUGUGCCUCCUGAGCAGGCUCACAGUUGUGGGUGGGGGACAGAAGGGUGUCCAUGCCUAAGGUCGACGGCGAUAAGACAGACGUUCUUCCCAGGAGGAGAUCAGUUCCAGAGACGGAGGUCUCGCUAUGUUGCCCAUACUGGUCUCAAAAUUCCUGGCCUCGAGUGAUCCUCCUGUCUCAGUCCCUGAAAUGCUGGGAUUACAGAACAGGUGGAGAGGUAUGAAGAACGAGGAACACUGCCCGGGGAGUUUCUUCCUCUGCAAAAUAAGGGAGUGUGUACUGAAUUACCGUUUCCAGCUCCAACAUCCAGGAUUUCAGCACUACCUGCAGAGUAGUGGGAGGAGAGAUAGAGGAAGAAGUGAAGAUAAGAAACCACUCGAAGCCGGUGUCUGGUGCUGGGACCGUGGUGGCUGGGACGGCAGCAGUCGUGCUGUCCAUCUGCUCUUCCGAGGGGUGGCACAUCCUAGCCUCUAUCUUUUCCCCAGAGAAGAUCCCCCUCGUCUGCUCUUCCCCCGUCUCAGCCUUUUAGUGUGUGAACAGUUCUGGUGUUACUCAGCAACGCUUUUGUUAGCGCCUUUACCAGCAAGUACUUGUUAAACACUUAAAUCUUACAAGUGGAAAGAAAAUUCCGUGGUAAAUUUAAGUACAAAAGUCAACCAAAAUUCUGAGUCUCGGACAAGACUGGUUAAAAAUCGUUCUACAAUGAAACUAAUAAAUUAAAUCAUAUAAAACUUUUAUUGCUUUGCAAGGAAGCUUUAGUAUUAAAUGUAAGCAUUUUCAUCUGGU
ensembl:lncRNA LINC02901 long intergenic non-protein coding RNA 2901